CACGUAGGGCGCAAGCGUUGUCCGGAAUUAUUGGGCGUAAAGAGCUCGUAGGUGGUUUGUUACGUCUGCUGUGAAAACCUAAGGCUCAACCUUGGGCUUGCAGUGGGUACGGGCAGACUAGAGUGCGGUAGGGGUGACUGGAAUUCCUGGUGUAGCGGUGGAAUGCGCAGAUAUCAGGAGGAACACCGAUGGCGAAGGCAGGUCACUGGGCCGCAACUGACGCUGAGGAGCGAAAGCAUGGGGAGCGAACAGG
rnacentral:rRNA from 1 species